ensembl:lncRNA
CUCUGAUACGACUACGAAUGUGAUCGAUAAGACCAGUUCAGAAUUAAACCCAUUGGAUAAUAAUAAAAGUACUCAAUAUAUAUUAUUUAAAAAUUGUAUAAAAAAUACAAAUAAGAAUAAUGUACAUAAUUUGUUAGCAAUAGUUAAAGAAGACAUAAAUAUACUUAAUGAAAUUACAGAAGAUUGUUUAAACAGUUUUUUUAAUUGUAUAUAUAAAAACACAAACGAAAUAAAAUAUUCUGAUUUUAUUUUUUAACAAACACACUUUAUAAGUUAGGAAUGAAAAAUAAAAUGCGCGAUUUAGCUUAUACAGUGUUGGACAUGUUACAUAAAAAUAAAAAAAAAAAAAUAAUUUAACAUUAACUAGUUUGGAAAAUUCAAACUUAACUAGUUCGGAUAAAUCAAGCUUAACUAGUUCGGAUAAUUUAACAUUAAGUAAUGAAAAUAAUGUGGACAGUGGUAAUAAUAUAAUAAAUAGGAGUAACAUCUGUAACGACUCAAUGAAAAUCCAGUAUAAUGAAGAAAUAGAACUAUGUAUUAAAUUUAUUAACACUUUAAACAAUAGCAAUUUAUAUUUUUCUGAAUUUUACGACUAUCUAAUUAAAAAGAUCAAUUAUAUGAGUAAUAGUGAUUUAGUUUUAUUUGCCGAAGAAUGUUUUAAACAUUUUUUACGCACAAAACAUUAUUUGGAUAAAAUAGUUAAUACAUGUAUACACAAAAAUAAAAUAGAAAAUUUUAAUUAUAACCAAAUAAAACUUUUAUAUUAUUUUUUUCAUAGAUUCUGUAAAGAAUAUAAAGAAUUUUAUGAUUUAACACUUUAUAUAAUAAUAGAAAAAAUACAACAAGUUGAUCUCCCUUUUUACCAAUUAUUAUUAAAAAUAUCAAUUAAUUUUAAAAACGAACAAAAAUAUGUUGAUUUAGUUACAGCAAUAGGUAAGCAAAUGGUUUUAUUUAUACAAGAGUUGAAAAAAAACUCGAAUUUUAAUGAAGCAUUAGGAUCUGACAGUAUUAUCCAAAGUAGUAGUACUGAUGGAUGUUCUGCUUUAUUGGAUACGUCUAUAGACCAUUCUAAAAAAGAAAAUACGAAAAUACUAAAUGUAAAGUUACAAAAAAACACAAAAGAAGAAAUAUUUAUAAAUUUAAUAAAGUGUUUACAAUAUUUUGAAUAUAAUAAAAAUAACUAUGAUAAAAUUAAAAUUUUAAUUAAUUUAAUGUAUGAAUUAAUAAAUGAAAAUAUAACAUUAAUUAAAUUAUUAUGUGUUGAAGAUAUUGUAUAUUCAAUUAGUUGUUUUGCUUCUUAUAAUAAAAAAAUAAUAUUGUAUAAUACACUUUUAGAUAUAUUAUGUGAUAAAUCAAAUGAAUUAUUACAUGCUAAAAAUAUAUGUCUUUGGAUAUAUCCAAUUAUAAGUUUGUCUAAAAUAGGUUGGUUUCAUUUAAAAUAUAUUUCUAAUUUAUUUGAAUAUAUUCAAGAUAGUUAUGUAUUGAGUAGAUUAAGUGUUUUUCAACUUUUAAAAUUAUUAUCUUCAAUUGUUAAAAUUAAUGUAUAUGAUCAAAAUAUAUAUAAAAUUAUUAUAACUAAGUUAUAUAACGAAUGGAAUACAAUAAAAACAAAAUUAAUUGAUGUAGCUACUUUUUUGUGGUCAUGUGCGUAUGUUAAUAUAAUUUAUAAACCAUUAUUUGAUAGUUCAUAUGAACUAGUCAUAGAUUUAGUAAAAAAAAAUGAUUCAUUUCCUUUUAGUGACAAAACAAAAUCUUUGGUUAAUUAUAAAAAUUGUUUUGUUAAUAUAACUUGGGCAUUUAUUGUAGCUAAUUAUCACAAAACACAUGAUAAUUUUUAUCUUAUUUUAGAUUAUACAUUUAUAAAUCGAAAUCCUAACAGUAUACAAGCAUUUAAAAGAUUACACCAAAUAGCAGAUGCAUGUUUUAAAGAAAUACCACAAUAUUUAAUAAAUUUAAAAAAUUUGGAUACUCUUUACCUGUAUUGUACAGAUAAAAAAUGUAAAACUAUGAGAACAGAGUUUAGUAUUUAUAAAAAAGAAAAAGAUGCAAUAAAAAUAAGAACAAAAAUAUUAAAAGAACUUUGUAAAAUUUUAAAUAAUUUUUCUAUUUCUUAUGACCUCCAUUUUGAACCUUAUAAUAAUUCACCAUACAUAAUAGAUAUCCUUCUUAAUGAAAAAAUGAAAAUAGGUAUUUGUCUUUUUGGUAAAGAACAUUUAAUGAGAACAGUUAGCAACUCCCGAUGGGAUUACCUUAAUACUGGACUUGUUGCAUUACAGAUGAGAGUUUUAUUUGCGCAUGGUUGGCAGGUACGUGUUUUGUCCGUCUACUAAACGGGGGUGUAUGUAUCUGCUUAUAUUUGUACGUACGGACAUUUUUUUGUACAUAUAUACAUAUAUAGCUAUUCUUUUUGUACAUAUAUACAUAUAUAGCUAUUUUUUUUGUACAUAUAUACAUAUAUAGCUAUUCUUUUUGUACAGAUAUACAUAUAUAGCUAUUUUUUUUGUACAUAUAUACAUAUAUACAUAUAUAGCUAUUUUUUUUGUACAUAUAUACAUAUAUAGCUAUUCUUUUUGUACAUAUAUACAUAUAUAGC